rnacentral:rRNA from 1 species
AUUGAACGCUGGCGGCAGGCCUAACACAUGCAAGUCGAACGGAGUGGCGGACGGGUGAGUAAUGUCUGGGAAACUGCCUGAUGGAGGGGGAUAAAUACUGGAAACGGGCGCUAAUACCGCAUACUAUCAGAUGAGCCUAGGUCGGAUUAGCUAGUUGGUGGGGUAAAGGCCUACCAAGGCGACGAUCCGUAACUGGUCUGAGCGGAUGAGCAGUCACACUGGAACUUAGACACGGUCCAGACUCCUACGUGAGGCAGCAGUGGGGAAUAUGGUACAAUUGGCGAAAUCCUGAUCCAGCCAUGCCGCGUGUGUGAAGAAGGUCUUCGGAUUGUAAAGCACUUUAAGUUGGGAGGCGUUACCCACAGAAGAAGCACCGGCUAACUUCGUGCCAGCAGCCGCGGUAAUUC